rnacentral:rRNA from 1 species
AUUGAACGCUGGCGGCAUGCCUUACACAUGCAAGUCGAACGGCAGCACGGGAGCAAUCCUGGUGGCGAGUGGCGAACGGGUGAGUAAUAUAUCGGGACGUGCCCAGUCGUGGGGGAUAACGCAGCGAAAGCUGUGCUAAUACCGCAUACGAUCGAAGGAUGAAAGCGGGGGAUCGCAAGACCUCGCGCGAUUGGAGCGGCCGAUAUCAGAUUAGCUAGUUGGUGGGGUAAAGGACCACCAAGGCGACGAUCUGUAGCUGGUCUGAGAGGACGACCAGCCACACUGGAACUGAGACACGGUCCAGACUCCUACGGGAGGCAUCAGUGGGGAAUUUUGGACAAUGGGCGCAAGCCUGAUCCAGCAAUGCCGCGUGCAGGAUGAAGGCCUUCGGGUUGUAAACUGCUUUUGUACGGAACGAAACGGCCCUUUCUAAUACAGGGGGCUAAUGACGGUACCGUAAGAAUAAGCACCGGCUAACUACGUGCCAGCAGCCGCAGUAA